rnacentral:rRNA from 1 species
GAUGAACGCUGGCGGCGUGCCUAAUACAUGCAAGUCGAGCGAACGGACGAGAAGCUUGCUUUUCUGAUGUUAGCGGCGGACGGGUGAGUAACACGUGGAUAACCUACCUAUAAGACUGGGAUAACUUCGGGAAACCGGAGCUAAUACCGGAUAAUAUUUUGAACCGCAUGGUUCAAAAGUGAAAGACGGUCUUGCUGUCACUUAUAGAUGGAUCCGCGCUGCAUUAGCUAGUUGGUAAGGUAACGGCUUACCAAGGCAACGAUGCAUAGCCGACCUGAGAGGGUGAUCGGCCACACUGGAACUGAGACACGGUCCAGACUCCUACGGGAGGCAGCAGUAGGGAAUCUUCCGCAAUGGGCGAAAGCCUGACGGAGCAACGCCGCGUGAGUGAUGAAGGUCUUCGGAUCGUAAAACUCUGUUAUUAGGGAAGAACAGAUGUGUAAGUAACUGUGCACAUCUUGACGGUACCUAAUCAGAAAGCCACGGCUAACUACGU